rnacentral:rRNA from 1 species
AUUGAACGCUGGCGGCAGGCCUAACACAUGCAAGUCGAGCGGCAGCGGGAAAGUAGCUUGCUACUUUUGCCGGCGAGCGGCGGACGGGUGAGUAAUGCCUGGGAAAUUGCCCAGUCGAGGGGGAUAACAGUUGGAAACGACUGCUAAUACCGCAUACGCCCUACGGGGGAAAGCAGGGGACCUUCGGGCCUUGCGCGAUUGGAUAUGCCCAGGUGGGAUUAGAUAGUUGGUGAGGUAAUGGCUCACCAAGGCGACGAUCCCUAGAUGGUCUGAGAGGAUGAUCAGCCACACUGGAACUGAGACACGGUCCAGACUCCUACGGGAGGCAGCAGUGGGGAAUAUUGCACAAUGGGGGAAACCCUGAUGCAGCCAUGCCGCGUGUGUGAAGAAGGCCUUCGGGUUGUAAAGCACUUUCAGCGAGGAGGAAAGGUUGGUGCCUAAUACGUAUCAACUGUGACGUUACUCGCAGAAGAAGCACCGGCUAACUCCGUGCCAGCCGCCGCAGUAACAC